rnacentral:lncRNA from 1 species
ACCUUUGAGAGGGAGAGUCUGGCAGAACCAUUGAGCCCCAACCUUGAAUGCUAGCUGCUGAAUCAACAGAAAGUGUGUACAGGGAGAAUGACCUUGUAUUUACUACUGGUCUUAACUGCGAUUUCACAUCCCCAGUGCAUGCUUGAUCACAUACUCCGCUCACUUAAGGGAAAUUGACCUCGGAAACAAUGCCCUGGGAGAAAUGGCUGCUGCUGACAUACUUGAAGCACUGAGAGCCAGAAAGACAGGUAAACUCCCAGUCUUAAAAAUUAUAAUCACUCCUCAAGUCUCUUCAGACAUCUUCAGAUCUGUUUGGAAAAAUAGCAAGAAAUCUAGUAUUACCCGUAAAAAGAAGAAAGAGGUUAAAAACUGAAUAUGGAUGCCAUUUAUCUUUAUGGAUGCUAUCUAUUACCAUGGCCAACCAGACAUGUGUAAAAAGAUAUUGCUUGUUCUAUAAUAAUAGUUUUCACUGGAACCAAGCCCCUUUCAAGUUCUAAAAUUUGAUGACUGAUUUAUGUAAGUUCAAAGUAGUGUUAAUCCUAUUAUGCUUGUCAUUUUCUAAAAUGAGGGUUUCAGGGGCGCCUGGGUGGCACAGCGGUUAAGCGUCUGCCUUCGGCUCAGGGCGUGAUCCUGGCGUUGCGGGAUCGAGCCCCACAUCAGGCUCCUCUGCUAUGAGCCUGCUUCUUCCUCUCCCACUCCCCCUGCUUGUGUUCCCUCUCUCGCUGGCUGUCUCUCUGUCAAAUAAGUAAAUAAAAUCUUUAAAAAAAAAAUAAAAUAAAAUAAAUAAAUAAAUAAAAUAAAAUGAGGGUUUCAGAAGCUGGCCUUAGUAAAAAUAGGUAGGAUUCUUCUCUGGUGCUUCUCAUGUGCAUGUGAAAUUUAUAACUUGAAGGAAGUCACGAUCUUUAUCUAAGAAAGAAAGAAUUUUCUUUUGUAAGUAUAUCUAUAAUUGGGGACAAUAGGCAUAUUUGGAAAUAAUCACUUUCUGAAAGACAACAUCCCCCAAAAUGGGGAUCUUCCCCAAAUGAGGUAAUUUCUAAUCACUUUAACCGCCCCCCCCAAUGAAGAUGUCUGCUCCAUGGGAAAGAGAAGAGGUGUGGUUGACCAACGUAUGGAUGAUAAAUUGGAUUAGUUCUAAGUUAUAUGGCAUUACAAUAUGAUGCAGGGACGAAAAGUGUGGACUGGGGAAUGAAGUGGACUGGAAUUCUCGGUGGAAAACUGCUGCUUUCCAGUUGUGUGACAUUGGCCAAGUGAGGUUUCACUGAGCCUCAGUUUUCCCUGAUAAGAUACAGAUAAGAAUAGCACCUGUCUCAUUUGGUGAGCUCUGAAUGAGAUGACACAUGUCAAGAAUUUUUGAACAAUACUUGUUUCAUAGUACAUGCUCAAAUAUAAAUGUUAGUGGCAGUUAUUAUUGUUGAUGUUAGAAUUGAAUGAUUCAGUUAUUUCACUUGGAAAAGCUACACAAAAAAAAUAAAAAAGAAGAAAAACAGACUUAAGACCUUUCCAUUUUGAAGGAAAAAACAAAACAAAAAAACCCCCACAAAAAGCAAGUCUGGUGGGGCAUCUGGCUGGCUUAGUCGGUAGAGCAUAUGACUCUUGAUCUCAGGGUUGUGAGUUCAAGCCCCACAUUGGGUGUGGAGCCUACUCAAAAUAAAAAAUAGAGAAAGAAAGAAAUGAAUGCACAUAAAAAAAGGCAAGACUUAUUCAACUAUGUACAAAUCAAGUUCUGGCAAGUCUGUGGAACCAAACUAUGUGAAGGUGAGGGUGUUUAUAGUCAAUUAUGUUCACCCUUAAAUAUCUUAGCAUCUAGCUAGGAAGAUAAGAUCCUCAUAUGUUAAAAGUACGUAAUUAACAGAGUGUGAGAGUUGAAAUAAUAUAACAGAUCUUCAGAACUUAUAUAUCCAGUAUAUGAGGCCUCCUAAGAAAUUGUACCUGCUUUUAAAAAAAAAAAAAAAAAAGAUGAUUUUCAGAUUUGCCACUGACAUCCACUGGGUGGGAGUAUAAGAUCUGUGUGCCUCUUUAGAAGCCUUUUUUUUUUUUUUAAGAUUUUAUUUAUUUAUUUGAGAGAGAGAGAGCAUGGGGGGGGUGGCGGGGAGGCAGAGGGAGAGGGAGAAACAGACCCCUUGCCGAGCAGGGAGCCUGAUGCGGGGCUUGAUCCCAG